UUAAGCGACUAAGCGUACACGGUGGAUGCCCUGGCAGUCAGAGGCGAUGAAGGACGUGCUAAUCUGCGAUAAGCGCCGGUAAGGUGAUAUGAACCGUUAUAACCGGCGAUUUCCGAAUGGGGAAACCCAGUGUGACUCGUCACACUAUCAUUAACUGAAUCCAUAGGUUAAUGAGGCGAACCGGGGGAACUGAAACAUCUAAGUACCCCGAGGAAAAGAAAUCAACCGAGAUUCCCCCAGUAGCGGCGAGCGAACGGGGAGGAGCCCAGAGCCUGAAUCAGCAUGUGUGUUAGUGGAAGCGUCUGGAAAGGCGCGCGAUACAGGGUGACAGCCCCGUACACAAAAGCGCAUGUGCUGUGAGCUCGAUGAGUAGGGCGGGACACGUGGUAUCCUGUCUGAAUAUGGGGGGACCAUCCUCCAAGGCUAAAUACUCCUGACUGACCGAUAGUGAACCAGUACCGUGAGGGAAAGGCGAAAAGAACCCCGGCGAGGGGAGUGAAAAAGAACCUGAAACCGUGUACGUACAAGCAGUGGGAGCACCCUUUGGGGUGUGACUGCGUACCUUUUGUAUAAUGGGUCAGCGACUUAUAUUCUGUAGCAAGGUUAACCGUAUAGGGGAGCCGUAGGGAAACCGAGUCUUAACCGGGCGUUAAGUUGCAGGGUAUAGACCCGAAACCCGGUGAUCUAGCCAUGGGCAGGUUGAAGGUUGGGUAACACUAACUGGAGGACCGAACCGACUAAUGUUGAAAAAUUAGCGGAUGACCUGUGGCUGGGGGUGAAAGGCCAAUCAAACCGGGAGAUAGCUGGUUCUCCCCGAAAGCUAUUUAGGUAGCGCCUCGUGAAUUCAUCUCCGGGGGUAGAGCACUGUUUCGGCUAGGGGGCCAUCCCGGCUUACCAACCCGAUGCAAACUGCGAAUACCGGAGAAUGUUAUCACGGGAGACACACGGCGGGUGCUAACGUCCGUCGUGAAGAGGGAAACAACCCAGACCGCCAGCUAAGGUCCCAAAGUCAUGGUUAAGUGGGAAACGAUGUGGGAAGGCCCAGACAGCCAGGAUGUUGGCUUAGAAGCAGCCAUCAUUUAAAGAAAGCGUAAUAGCUCACUGGUCGAGUCGGCCUGCGCGGAAGAUGUAACGGGGCUAAACCAUGCACCGAAGCUGCGGCAGCGACGCUUAUGCGUUGUUGGGUAGGGGAGCGUUCUGUAAGCCUGUGAAGGUGGCCUGUGAGGGUUGCUGGAGGUAUCAGAAGUGCGAAUGCUGACAUAAGUAACGAUAAAGCGGGUGAAAAGCCCGCUCGCCGGAAGACCAAGGGUUCCUGUCCAACGUUAAUCGGGGCAGGGUGAGUCGACCCCUAAGGCGAGGCCGAAAGGCGUAGUCGAUGGGAAACGGGUUAAUAUUCCCGUACUUGGUGUUACUGCGAAGGGGGGACGGAGAAGGCUAUGUUGGCCGGGCGACGGUUGUCCCGGUUUAAGCGUGUAGGUGUGUGUUCCAGGUAAAUCCGGUUCACUUUAACACUGAGGCGUGAUGACGAGGCACUACGGUGCUGAAGCAACAAAUGCCCUGCUUCCAGGAAAAGCCUCUAAGCAUCAGGUAACAUCAAAUCGUACCCCAAACCGACACAGGUGGUCAGGUAGAGAAUACCAAGGCGCUUGAGAGAACUCGGGUGAAGGAACUAGGCAAAAUGGUGCCGUAACUUCGGGAGAAGGCACGCUGACACGUAGGUGAAGUGAUUUACUCACGGAGCUGAAGUCAGUCGAAGAUACCAGCUGGCUGCAACUGUUUAUUAAAAACACAGCACUGUGCAAACACGAAAGUGGACGUAUACGGUGUGACGCCUGCCCGGUGCCGGAAGGUUAAUUGAUGGGGUCAGCGCAAGCGAAGCUCCUGAUCGAAGCCCCGGUAAACGGCGGCCGUAACUAUAACGGUCCUAAGGUAGCGAAAUUCCUUGUCGGGUAAGUUCCGACCUGCACGAAUGGCGUAAUGAUGGCCAGGCUGUCUCCACCCGAGACUCAGUGAAAUUGAACUCGCUGUGAAGAUGCAGUGUACCCGCGGCAAGACGGAAAGACCCCGUGAACCUUUACUAUAGCUUGACACUGAACAUUGAGCCUUGAUGUGUAGGAUAGGUGGGAGGCUUUGAAGCGUGGACGCCAGUCUGCGUGGAGCCAACCUUGAAAUACCACCCUUUAAUGUUUGAUGUUCUAACGUGGACCCGUGAUCCGGGUUGCGGACAGUGUCUGGUGGGUAGUUUGACUGGGGCGGUCUCCUCCUAAAGAGUAACGGAGGAGCACGAAGGUUGGCUAAUCCUGGUCGGACAUCAGGAGGUUAGUGCAAUGGCAUAAGCCAGCUUGACUGCGAGCGUGACGGCGCGAGCAGGUGCGAAAGCAGGUCAUAGUGAUCCGGUGGUUCUGAAUGGAAGGGCCAUCGCUCAACGGAUAAAAGGUACUCCGGGGAUAACAGGCUGAUACCGCCCAAGAGUUCAUAUCGACGGCGGUGUUUGGCACCUCGAUGUCGGCUCAUCACAUCCUGGGGCUGAAGUAGGUCCCAAGGGUAUGGCUGUUCGCCAUUUAAAGUGGUACGCGAGCUGGGUUUAGAACGUCGUGAGACAGUUCGGUCCCUAUCUGCCGUGGGCGCUGGAGAACUGAGGGGGGCUGCUCCUAGUACGAGAGGACCGGAGUGGACGCAUCACUGGUGUUCGGGUUGUCAUGCCAAUGGCACUGCCCGGUAGCUAAAUGCGGAAGAGAUAAGUGCUGAAAGCAUCUAAGCACGAAACUUGCCCCGAGAUGAGUUCUCCCUGAGACUUAAAGUCUCCUGAAGGAACGUUGAAGACGACGACGUUGAUAGGCCGGGUGUGUAAGCGCAGCGAUGCGUUGAGCUAACCGGUACUAAUGAACCGUGAGGCUUAACCUU
rnacentral:rRNA from 1 species